UUGGUUUAAAUUAUUGUGGAUCUAUAUUUUGAAAAUUGAGCUCACAUAAAGUGGUGGAAUAUACAUUGAUUUUAUCGAA
rnacentral:pre_miRNA from 1 species